rnacentral:rRNA from 1 species
GCCCAGUCGUGGGGAUAACGUAGGGAAACUUACGCUAAUACCGCAUGCGCCUUCGGGGGAAAGCCGGGGACCUUCGGGCCUGGCGCGAUUGGAUGAGCCCACGUCGGAUUAGCUAGUUGGCGGGUAAAGGCCCACCAAGGCGACGAUCCGUAGCUGGUCUGAGAGGAUGAUCAGCCACACUGGAACUGAGACACGGUCCAGACUCCUACGGGAGGCAGCAGUAGGGAAUAUUGGACAAUGGGCGCAAGCCUGAUCCAGCCAUGCCGCGUGAGUGAAGAAGGCCCUCGGGUUGUAAAGCUCUUUUGUCCGGAAAGAAAAGCGCCGGGUUAAUACCCUGGUGUCCUGACGGUACCGGAAGAAUAAGCACCGGCUAACUUCGUG